AUCUGGUAGAGGCCCACUAGGUCUCCUGGGAAAAGGUGGUUUGUCUCUCUAUUUUGGGGGAUCAGCCCCAAGUGGCCAAACCGAAUUCCACCCAUAGCCACGCCUCGCUGGUAUCUGUCCACACGUGCUGCUGGUCAGCAGCUGUGGGCAUGUGUUUCUGCUCCUCCAGUGGGUUGUCCCAGUGAAUGUAGUUACACUCAGCCAGCCAUCUCCUGUCCACUGUUUGCCUGUCCACUGUCU
rnacentral:lncRNA from 1 species